GGAGUCUCUCUCACGGCUUCCUUUCCCUCCCUCAGUCCCACCUCUAGAGACUGCACAUUCUGUAGGAAGGCCCCACAGGAAGGAGGAAGGCAAUGGCUGUUGGGCCUCUGCCAUUGGGAGCUCAGGUGUCAUGUGACCAGCUGAGCUCUGCCAUGCACUUAUGCCCCUCUACUUCCUGAUUAUAGGUGUCAUGUGACCAGCUGAGCUCUGCCAUAUAUUCAUCUCUCUCUGCUUCCUGACUGUGGGUGUCAUGUGACCGGUUGAGCUCUGCCAUGCACUCACCCCUCUCUGCUUCCCAAUGUGGAUGUCAUGUGACCAGCUGCUUCUUACUCCUGCCAUCUUGAUUUUUGCAGCAUAAAGUUCUGCACCCUUGAACUGUAAGCCAAAGAGUCAGUGGCAUUCAAGGAUGUGUCUGUGAACUUCACUUGGGAGGAGUGGAUGCAGCUCGAUUCUGUGCAGAGGAACCCGUGUGGCAGGGUGACGCUGGAUAACUACAGGAACCUGGUCUCCCUGGGACAUCAACCUUCCAAGUCAAAUGUGAUCUCUGAACUGGAACAAGGACUGAGCCUGA